CCUACGGGUGGCAGCAGUGGGGAAUAUUGCACAAUGGGGGAAACCCUUAUCCAGCGACGCCGCGUGAGUGAAGAAGUCUUUCGGUAUGUAAAGCUCUAUCAGCAGGGAAGAAAAUGACGGUACCUGCUUAAGAAGCCCCGGCUACCUACGUGCCAGCAGCCGCGGUAAUACGUCGGGGGCAGGCGUUAUCCGGAUUUACUGGGUGUCAAGGGAGCGUAGACGGCAGGCCAAGUCGGGAGUGAAAUGCCGGGGCGUAACCCAGGAACUGCUUUGGAAACUGGGCAGCUAGAGUGCAGGAGAGGUAAGUGGAAUUCCUAGUGUAGCGGUGAAAUGCGUAGAUAUUAGGAGGAACACCAGUGGCGAAGGCGGCUUACUGGACUGUAACUGACGUUGAGGCUCGAAAGCGUGGGGAGCAAACAGGAUUAGAUACCCCAGUAGUC
rnacentral:rRNA from 1 species